GAACGCUGGCGGCGUGCUUAACACAUGCAAGUCGAACGAUGAACCACUUCGGUGGGGAUUAGUGGCGAACGGGUGAGUAACACGUGGGCAAUCUGCCCUUCACUCUGGGACAAGCCCUGGAAACGGGGUCUAAUACCGGAUAUGACCAUCUUGGGCAUCCUUGAUGGUGUAAAGCUCCGGCGGUGAAGGAUGAGCCCGCGGCCUAUCAGCUUGUUGGUGAGGUAAUGGCUCACCAAGGCGACGACGGGUAGCCGGCCUGAGAGGGCGACCGGCCACACUGGGACUGAGACACGGCCCAGACUCCUACGGGAGGCAGCAGUGGGGAAUAUUGCACAAUGGGCGAAAGCCUGAUGCAGCGACGCCGCGUGAGGGAUGACGGCCUUCGGGUUGUAAACCUCUUUCAGCAGGGAAGAAGCGAAAGUGACGGUACCUGCAGAAGAAGCGCCGGCUAACUACGUGCCAGCAGCCGCGGUAAUACGUAGGGCGCAAGCGUUGUCCGGAAUUAUUGGGCGUAAAGAGCUCGUAGGCGG
rnacentral:rRNA from 1 species